ensembl:snRNA U1 U1 spliceosomal RNA
AGGCCUGGUGGGGAGACACCAUGAUCAAGAAGGCGGUUCACCCAGGGUGAGGCUCAUCCAUUGCACUCCGGCCGGUCUGACCCCUGCGAAUUCCCCAAAUAUGGGAAUCUCGACUGCAUAAUUUGUGGAAGUGGGGGACUGCGUUUGCGCUCUCCCCUG